AAAGGAUAUGAGGAAGCAUGUACGAAACGGGCACUCGAGGUACAUUAUUGAAGUUUCGCCAAGGAUUAGACACCCGGAUGGAAUGAUUAAAUCUAGAAAGAUAACGGGAUGGAAAGUAUAUGUGGAUAGAACGUUGUACGAGUCACAGAUUAUCAUCACGAGGAGUAGCGAUCAAAGACCGAGUCACAAGAUAGAUUGUACGGGAAUGCUUGAGUAUGUAAUUUGAUAAACAUAAGUUAUGCUUUUA